rnacentral:rRNA from 1 species
GACGAACGCUGGCGGCGUGCCUAAUACAUGCAAGUAGAACGCACAGUUUAUACCGUAGCUUGCUACACCAUAGACUGUGAGUUGCGAACGGGUGAGUAACGCGUAGGUAACCUGCCUGGUAGCGGGGGAUAACUAUUGGAAACGAUAGCUAAUACCGCAUAAUAUUAAUUAUUGCAUGAUAAUUAAUUGAAAGGUGCAAUUGCACCACUACCAGAUGGACUUGCGUUGUAUUAGCUAGUAGGUGAGGUAACGGCUCACCUAGGCGACGAUACAUAGCCGACCUGAUAGGAUGAUCGGCCACACUGGGACUGAGACACGGCCCAGACUCCCACGGGAGGCAGCAGUAGGGAAUCUUCGGCAAUGGACGAAAGUCUGACCGAGCAACGCCGCGUGAGUGAAGAAGGUUUUCGGAUCGUAAAGCUCGGUUGUAAGAGAAGAACGGGUGUGAGAGUGGAAAGUUCACACUGUGACGGUAUCUUACCAGAAAGGGACGGCUAACUACGUG